UGAGUCGUUCGGAUGAUCGCGGCACAGCAAUGUGCUGAGGAAAGUCGGGACUUCUCAGGGCAACAUGCUGGCGAGAGCCAGGUAGGGGUGACCUUACGGACGUGCAACAGAGAACAGACCGCCGAUGGCUGCGCAAGCAGAUCAGGUAAGGGUGAAACGGUGCGGUAAGAGCGCACCAGCAUAUGAAGCGAUUCAUAUGGCUUGGUAAACCCCAUGUGAAGCAAGAUCAAGCAGAAGGCUGGGCUGCCCGCCUGCCGCAAG
rnacentral:RNase_P_RNA from 1 species